UCCUGAGUCCAUUGGUCUCUUGAAGGCAUUGAUUGCGCUCAACUUAUCGAACAACGCCUUCACAGGCCAGAUUCCUCUGUCUUUGGCAAAUGUUACGGAGCUCGAGUCACUAGACCUGUCAAGAAACCAACUAUCAGGGAAUAUUCCAAGAGAACUCGGGAGUCUCUCGUUUUUGGCGUACAUAAGUGUAGCUCAUAACCAGCUCAAAGGAGAAAUACCACAAGGACCACAGUUUAGUGGGCAAGCUGAAUCAUCGUUUGAAGGGAAUGCAGGUCUUUGUGGUCUCCCUCUACAAGAAAGUUGCUUUGCACCACCAACACAACAGCUUAAGGAAGAAGACGAAGAAGAGGAAGGAGUGCUAAACUGGAAAGCAGUGGUUAUAGGCUAUGGGCCUGGACUGUUGUUUGGAUUGGUUAUAGCGCACGUUAUUGCUGCAUACAAGCCAAAGUGGUUCGUCAAGAUUGUUGGUCCAGAUAAGAGCAAGGAGGUAAAUCCAGUUAGAUUGUUUUUGUCUAUGGAUUCAAGAUGUGACAGUUUUAAUAACACGAAUAACGUAGAACCAGAAAGUGAUAUGUAAAAUUAGUAUAUGGAUAUGUUGUUUACCUGAUGUAAGUAAGAAAAGGUUUUUACUUUUACUGUGACUUUU
rnacentral:lncRNA from 1 species